GCAGGGGAGAGUUUGAUCCUGGCUCAGAUUGAACGCUGGCGGCAGGCCUAACACAUGCAAGUCGAGCGGAUGAAGGGAGCUUGCUCCUGGAUUCAGCGGCGGACGGGUGAGUAAUGCCUAGGAAUCUGCCUGGUAGUGGGGGAUAACGUCCGGAAACGGGCGCUAAUACCGCAUACGUCCUGAGGGAGAAAGUGGGGGAUCUUCGGACCUCACGCUAUCAGAUGAGCCUAGGUCGGAUUAGCUAGUUGGUGGGGUAAAGGCCUACCAAGGCGACGAUCCGUAACUGGUCUGAGAGGAUGAUCAGUCACACUGGAACUGAGACACGGUCCAGACUCCUACGGGAGGCAGCAGUGGGGAAUAUUGGACAAUGGGCGAAAGCCUGAUCCAGCCAUGCCGC
rnacentral:rRNA from 2 species